rnacentral:rRNA from 1 species
AUUGAACGCUGGCGGCAUGCCUUACACAUGCAAGUCGAACGGCAGCACGGGAGCAAUCCUGGUGGCGAGUGGCGAACGGGUGAGUAAAGUAUCGGAACGUGCCCAGUCGUGGGGGAUAACGUAGCGAAAGUUACGCUAAUACCGCAUACGAUCUAUGGAUGAAAGCGGGGGAUCGCAAGACCUCGCGCGAUCGGAGCGGCCGAUAUCAGAUUAGGUAGUUGGUGGGGUAAAGGCUCACCAAGCCGACGAUCUGUAGCUGGUCUGAGAGGACGACCAGCCACACUGGGACUGAGACACGGCCCAGACUCCUACGGGAGGCAGCAGUGGGGAAUUUUGGACAAUGGGCGAAAGCCUGAUCCAGCCAUGCCGCGUGCAGGAUGAAGGCCUUCGGGUUGUAAACUGCUUUUGUAUGGAACGAAAAGGUUUGGGCUAAUAAGCUGAGCUCAUGACGGUACCGUAAGAAUAAGCACCGGCUAACUACGUGCCAGCCGCCGCCGUAA